CUACUUAGCUGGUAUGGGAGUACCAUGAUCCCGAAGGUGGUUUUCCAGGGCGAGGCUCACACAUGGCACUCCGGGUGUGCUGACCCCUGCGGUUUCCCCAAAUAUGGGAAACUCAAAUGCAUAAUUUGUGGUAGUCGGGGACUGCGUUCACGCUAAA